GCACUAGGUGGGGAGCCAGCGGUGCCCUUAACCUGCAAUCCGCUACAGCAGGGCUGAAGGUCCUUCUCGGGGGUAAUUAUGGUUGGCCGGGCCGGAAAAGGGGCGUUGAUAUCAAGGUCUCGUGCAACGGACGGUUGUGAACCGUGUCAGGAUAGGGAUAUAGCAGCACUAAGCAAUUUCGAUCCGUGUGACUUGAGGUUGCUUUGAAGGAGUUACCUGUCCGGUUA
rnacentral:SRP_RNA from 1 species